UGUACAUGGAAUUGAGACCUGAGUGUGUAGAAGGUGAAGGGUUUCCCGUCCUGACACAUGCUGCAGGUGUGGCUGCUGUGUCACAUGUGCAUCAGUGGGUGCCAGAGAUGAGAGAGGUCAUGUCUACACUCUCGUGUUCUGACUUAUGAACAUCUGAAUAAUUAGUAGCCUAACAUUCCCUGAAAAAAGUGAGCCUGGGAAGUCUGGCACUAGGCAGGCCUGGACCAGCUCCCAGGACACGGGACUCUUUCAAGGGGCCAUUCAGGUGGGCCAGGUGAGGAAUGAUCCCUAAGAAGACCAGCAGACAGAGGCCCAGACAAGGAGCUAGCCUGAGAUGACCACCAGCCCAGGACUAUAUCUAACUCUGGGCAGUUCAACUCACUUCCUUUGGUUGCUGUACAUGAAAUCAGUCCUCUUAGAUGACUUCACCUCUCCAUUAGGUCAACAAGCAAGGCUACAGGAACAGAGGACGGUCUUACGACAAAGGACAAGCCUGUGUGUGCAUCCUCAGACCAUCAGCUUAUUCCAAGAAGAGACAGUGGUCUCAACAGUUCAACAGUUCUUCCCUCUACUCCGGUGCUCAGAGGGCUGUUACUACCUAAUCGGACUCUGGAGAACUACGUAUGCAUAUUAAAGCCAGAACUUCCUCAGUUAAGCCUGUCAUUUCUUUCAGUAUUCUUUGUAGGAAGGGAUUUAAUUUAUAAGGACAAACAUAAUUUUCAAGGAUAAGAGCAUUGCUAAGACAUCCGAGACCUCCUCCAGUUUCCCUACUUGUGAAGAAAGAUGUGUAGUAUUAACACUACUAACUCUUAUUUAUAUCUUGUGAACUUUAAUUCUUGCAAGCGCAUUCUUAAAAAAAAAUCAAUCAUCUUCAGCUCACUGGUGUCUUACAAUGACAGAGAAUCUAAAAUAGUCUGAGGAGACCAGGCAGUUCCUCCGUGAAUCUCAAUAAUCUGCAUGAUAGCAGCCUUCUCACGUAUACAGUCAUUAAAGUCAGGUCCAAGGAGUUACAGAACUAGAAGAACAGGGUUGAGCGCUACCAUGAGUGUCAUGACAGAAAUUUAGGGAGGUGGCAUCUUCCAGGAUGCAUUUCUAUCAUACCACACAACAAGAACGUAACUAUGUCAUUUUUUUUACCCUUUCCUAAUGCUACUGCAAUUCUAUGUCUUCCAACUAAACUUAAACAAGCGUGAGAUUUUUCUUAAGCAAAACAGUAACUCCACACUGUUGAGAGCUACGAAUUUAUUCGAUAGUUAAACUUGAGACUACUUGGUCCUAAGAUUAACAAUGGACUUUAGUCAGUCUUUAAAAAGACAAUUCCUCUUCUCUAAGGGUGAACAUUCUGUUGCUAAGACCUAUGCGAGUGGAUUAGGGAGCUACGCUGCCUGUGGCAGUGGGUGAGCCUCACCGUCUCUGGAUGAGAUAGUCCUCCAGGAUGUCGAGACAGCGCACCAUCUGAGAGAAGAUGAGCACUUUGUGGCCGCCAGCAAUGAGCUUGGGGAGAAGCUUGUCAAUGAGCACCAGCUUCCCCGCCGCCUGGAUCAUGGCCUGUAGCUGGAAGUCAGAGGCUUCAGAGCUGUGGGCUUUCCUGAAAUCUUCCAGAAUCUUUUCCUCUGCCCCUGAAAGAGAAUGGACAAAAGCAUUCUUGAGUAAGAUGUAAUUAAAAGCUGUUUUUGUUUUAUAGAUUCUUGGGAAACAGUGAAUCCUGACUUAACUACUCUACUGGGCUAACAGUCAGACUCCGGGUGUGGUCUGCUCUGUUCCCCUAGGAGUCAGUCUGCUGUAGCAGGAGAGCCACCAUGCUUUCCUAGAACUCCCUCUUGGAAACUCAAAGUCAGAGAUGUCAAGUUCUAACCCAACUUACUUGGGUAAAAAAAUUAUCCAGAGAGUUCACAAAAAGACUUUCAUACUUCUUAUUACUGCAUAAUUAGCUAUAAAAGAAUGCAAGCCACACUACAAUCAGAAUUCCUCGAAAGCUUUAAUAUUCCCCUCUCCCCCAAGAAACACCAAAACAAAACAAAACAAAACAAAACAAAACAAAACAAAACAACACACCAAAGUCAAAGCAAAAUACCCAAACCCAGAUCUAUGGAGAUGGCUUCGUUAGCAAGACCUGAGUUUGAUCUUCAGCACCACAUAAAAAGGUGGGUAUGAUAGCACAUGCCUGUGAUCCCAGCAUAGGGGAGGAGGAGGGGAAAGGAGGAUAUGUACUUGGGCUUCCUAGCCAGCCAGUCUAGCAAAAUUGGCAAACUCUUGAUUCAAAAAAAGACCGUCUUAAAAACAAGAUACUAGAAGUGGAUCUCUGGUGUACACACACACACACACACACACACACACACACACACACACACACACACACACCCCACUACCAUCAUUAUCAUCAUUACCACCACCAACCCUUUUCCAAUUAGUCACAGUGACUAGUAUAUGCAUACGCAGACUUUUAAUCUCAUUGCCACAUCAUCAUUCAUUCAAGUAAGCAACACAUUUCUCUAUUUUCAAAAGGAAAGUUUGGGUUAGAAUAUGAGUCAUAAGGGCAGGAAACUGAUGGGUAACACCCACUCUCCUAGGCAGGUCUACAGAAGCCCUGCAGAAACAGCGAAUAGGUAGAAACCAUUAUAUCAUUCAGGCAGACCCAUCGGUCUUUCUGAAACUCUGUUCUACACUGUGCAAAAAGACAAAAAACAUUCUAGUCUAGUAUGUACUGCUCCUAGUUCCCGGACUCACCAUUGAUCAGGUAGGGGUGGUUGCAGCAUUUUCUCAGCUCCAUCAUAGUAUUGAUAAGGUUGGGCAUGUUGUGCUGAUUUGCACCUUUGGUCAGGAAGGAGAAGUUUUUCUCUAGGAUAGCACGGUAGUACUUUUUCUGGAUAUUGGUCAGUUCUACUUCAAUGAUGGUCUCCUGCUUGGGAGCAAGGUUCUUCUCCACAUCAUCUUUCAGGCGCCGAAGCAUCAUUGGUUUUAGGAUAGACUGCAAUUUCUUUACCUGUUCAGGAAAGGAAAGCCGUUUAUUUGUCCCGGUCUGGACUAAAUUAUCAAUAUGGUAUGUCAACAUUCACUAUAAUCUCUUCAAUAUCAUCAUAGUAUUGAGAUCAUAAAAACGAUAUAAAAUUUCACAGAUUGAUCCCUGAAAAUGGGGACCUUACAAUAAUAUCUGGAGGAAAAAGGGAUAUGAUUUCAAUCCACAAAGUAUCAAGAACCUAUGUGGCAACCUCUUAAGCGAGGUAAGAAGGGAGAAGGAAGUCAGUACCUAUUCUCUAGGAUGCAGAAAACAAACCUUUCUUUCUUUUUUGUCACACACACACACACACACACACACACACACACACACACACACACACACACACACAGACACACACACGCACAGAAGUUAUAUGGUGAAUAUCCCAUCUUGUUAGGAGGUACAAAUGAUACAUUAAGAAGGAAGACCAGCACGCUGAAAGGACAGAGUGAAGGACUUAGAGGCAGCUUGAGUGGAGCUAGCCUAAGCCUUUUAAGUAACAGCAGCAGUAUUUGUGUUUAGAAGUAGAAGUGCAUGAAGAAGGUCGCAUAGCAAUGUCAUGGGAGCUGUCGUUUGCGGGCCACUGCAGUGUUCUCUGCUAUAAUCUGGCUUUGUGUCUGAGAGUCCACAUCUGCACAAAGAUCUCCAUUCACUAGACUGCACCAAAGGAACUCUCCUCUCUCCCUCCUCUCUCCCUCCUCUUCCAGAAGACAAUGACAAGAUAGGUAAUUCAAAGUCAAAGCGCCUGAGUUAAUCUACACACAGCUCAAGUGUGGUACCAGUAAGAUCAAGCCUGAUGAGAAAAUAGACAAGAGAUACAAAAGAAAUUAAGUUCUAAAGUCAGAAAGGGCUGGCUGUUCAACGUUUCUAAAAGGCACAGGACCUGCUGUAGCACUGCUUCCUGAAGAAACACAGCCCACUUGCGGGAGGUUUUGAGAGAUGCAGGUUUUGAACAUGCGUUUAUAUUGUAAACAGACACUACUGAGAGCUUAUAUGUAUUGUGUUUUAAAAUAGAAACAUUUCUUCUUCAAACAGUAAGUAGAAUGAUGACUAUUAGAGAAGGGUCUGGGGAGAUGCUGGUCGAAGGUCAUACCAUUUUAAUUAGAUAGAACAAAGUCAAGAGAGCUAUUGUACAACAUGGAGACUAUAAUUACAAUGUAUUCUUGAGGACUGCAGUGACAGUGGAUUUUGAGUAUUCUCACCACAAAAAGUAAGACGGUAAUGUACUGCACAGAUUAAGUAGCCUAAUUCAGCUAUUCUACUAUAUAUAUAUAUUUUUUUCAAGGCAUAUUGUACACACACAAAAAUUGCAUUUUUGUGUCAAUUAAAAUAAACCAGAUAACUAAUGCAUUUUUUUUCUAUAACUAAUCCCAAUUUUAAACCUAGCCUUCUUCAGACCUUGAUUAUCCGAAGGCAUUUAGGAAUGUAGUUCCCCUAAUGGGUGAAGAAUUACUAUGUAAGAGCCUAAAGGGGAAAACAGAGCCAGCUAAUUGUUAAAGGUACGGACAAAUGUCAGUCUGCCACAUGCCGGGUUCAGCUUUUGCCCUUCACUUGGUUCAUACCUGAGUCACUUAGAGUAUACUACAAGCCAGACACUGUGCUGGGCAAUACAACAAACACAACUUUGGAGAAGAUGUGGGCCUUGUCCUCAAGGAGAUCAUUGUCUAGGAAGAAGAAAAAAUGCAUACCACAAAUUAAGUGCAAUGGGAGAAGAGGAUGCAUUCCCAGUGCUCCAAAAAUGGAGAGUGGGUUGGAGCUGGCUUUUGAAGAAUCAACAGAUAUUGAAAUGCGGAGGGGGAGAAUUACAAGUGCUUUUUCACUUUUUAUUUAUUUAAUUUUACUGCUUUCAAAGUCUGACUUGCAUGACAAGUAAAAGCAUCAGACUGGAACCAGAGCACACUCCUGACGUCAGUUGGCUGUAGUCUCGAACCUUUGUGGUCUCCCAAUUGUUUACACCUUCACACUUGUGCACUGUGGGUAAUAAGUUUAGCAGAACUAUGUCUUUCUUAAAUAGAAACGAGUAAGACUUCUUUACCUUUCUGCUUUCCAGCCCCAUUUCCAGAUCUUCCAACACAGCACAGCUGUAACUCUGGCCUUACUUGUACUCCAGUCAUCCGGUUUCAGCCACCAGAUGAUCUGCCACUACUUAGUGAGUCUCAUGGCUCAUGGUCAUUCUGAGCUCCCCUCCCAUAUAAAGUAGUCAUUCUUCUUUUUUCAGCAUUAGAAACUUAUCUAUUGCAGAAGAUUCUUUUUUUUUUUUUUUUUUUGGUUCUUUUUUUUGGAGCUGGGGACCGAACCCAGGGCCUUGCGCUUCCUAGGCAAGCGCUCUACCACUGAGCUAAAUCCCCAACCCCUUGCAGAAGAUUCUUAAAUUGUACCCUCUCCCUUGUUCCUGAUUUUUUUUUUUUUUUGUUCCUGAUUCUUAAACAGGUCUGAACUUUCCUUUUAAUUUCCCAACUCAGCUAUUUUUGUCAUAUAGCAUUUAACUUGUCUGACAUAUAAACUAGACUGUAAGAGAUCUUUAAAAGCUGGGAAAAGUCCAGGUAAUCAGGACAAAAUCAGACUCAGUUACUUCACAUAUAUGACGGGCUUCUUUUACUCACAUUUGUGUAAUGUAUAAGCAAGAAGAGAGGCCCUGGAACAUGUUGUAGAUUAUGGAGCAGAAAAGACAAAGGAGCGAGGGAAGCGAAAGACAAAAGCUUGCUCCUGAGGUUAGAUCUACAAAUCACAUCGACGAAAGUACAAGGGCCUUCAGUGAAGCAGGAGGCCUAAUAAUCCUUAUUAGCAAUGAGAACUGGAAUAAUUAAGUACAUCUGUCAACAUAAACAAACAAAUAUAUAAAACAAAGGAGGCAGUGCUCAUUUUAUAAGAAUAGGAACCUUAAAAAAAAAUCCUGUCCUCAUAAUGACUUGCAUUUUCCUUAACCAUAUUGUCUCAAUCCUUUAGACCCCUAAUUACCUGUUCUUCUGUUUUGAGAUCACCAAACUCCUCUAAGAAAGCAGUCUCUGAAGGAAACUGUGAGGGCUCCAGAAAGUUAAGCAAACUGAAGAGCUCUUCCACUGAGUUCUGCAAGGGCGUUCCUGUGAGUAGCACCUUGUGUUCCUAUAAAAAUCAGAAACACUUUGUGAAUCAUGUUGGAGCCACAAAAGAGUACAUGUUAGUGGCAAAAAAAAAAAAAAAAAAAAAAAAGAGCCAGGGCAAUUUGUGUUGAGCUUUGGACGUAUCUUGAAUGAAACGUCAGAGAGCCAACACUGCACAGGUGUGGAGUCAUGAAUGGCCAACUUCCCUUCACAUCAUGAUUCCAGCAGCAACUUCAUGAAAUCUACAUCAGCCAUAUGUUUACUCAAAAUCACUAAGUCCUAUCCACUGUUACAGGGCAGUAAUGUAUCCUUCCAGAGGUCCUGAGUUCAAUUCCCAGCAAUCACAAGGUGGCUCACGACCAUCUAUAAUGAGAUCAAUGCCCUCUUCUGGAGUGUCUGAAGACAGCUACAGUGUACUCAUAUACAUAAAGUAAAUAAAUCUAAAAAAAGAAAAAAAAAAAAAAAGACUAUUCUUUCUGGUACCAGUGCAUUCAAGACCAAGAAACAAGCUAUGCACACCUUACAGUUCCAGGUUACAGAUUCUAUGUUAUUUUAGUGUUUUUAGGUCCCUCUGGGAUUCAAGCUGUGGCAAAAGGAUGUGCAGAAGGCCAUGGAAUGCUCCCUUCAUUUUGAGUAGAAGGAAUUUGUUUAUUUAUGUAAAAAGCUGGCUAGUUCUCACCAGGGCCAUGAGCUUUAACCCUUCCAGAAGUUUACAGUUCCUAUUCUUCAAUCUGUGGGCCUCAUCAAUUACCACACAGCUCCAGUGAAUCUUCUUCAGCUCUGGGCAAUCUGCCAGGAUCAUCUCGAAUGUUGUGAUGACGACAUGGAACUUGAAAACUCCUGAAAGGGGGUUCCCCUGAGGAUGACAAGUCAGAACAGAGCUUUACACCACAGCUACUGAAUUCUGCUAAUAGUCGACUUGAGAGAAUGGUACAAGCAAUGACAGAUGAGAAGCCAAGAGGCCCUGUUUUCUCUCAUAUAAGAAAUGAAGAAAACCCGUAACAAUGAACCAGCUGCUUAGACAAGAGGAAACUCAGAAUAUCAAGGAAGAGAAUUUACACGAGUCACUGGCUUCAUGAAGUUAAGACAAAAUGAGGGCAACAGGGAGCUUUUCAUUUCUUCAUUGUGAUGCUAAGGAAAGCAGCCAGGACAGUUCACAUAUUAUCUCCAGCUGGGAGUCUACCAAGCCUAAUCAUUUCAACUCUCAAGAAAAUCCUCUGCUACAUAAUUUUACCUAUAACUCAGGUCCUAGCACAGACUCCAGUAGUGGGGUGCAUGUACCUGGUACAAGUGCUACUGGACAGGCUACAUCCCUAUCUUGCUGUCUGUCUGAAUGCUGCCAGUACAGCAUUAAUAUUGAAUGCCCAAUAUUAAAGCAAUAUAAAAUGUCUGCCAAGAAAUACCAACAUUGUCUGGAAACCUUGGUUUUCCUCUGCCUGAUUACUUAAUUUUUACUUUAAUUAUGACAAUCAGUGCCCAGUGAAAGUAUAGACUCAUACUUAGUACACUGAUUAUAUAUAACAAAAAUGUAGAAAACAAAGUUGUGUUUUCAAGAACACAAAACCCAUUUUUUACCUUUCCCUACCCAAUUUCUUCAUUUUCUCUACAAAUUCCCUGGGUUCAAAUUCUAAACAUCAUGCAUUUUUUAAAAAAGGUUUUUGUUUUUUUUGUUUUUUUUGUUUUUUUUGCUUAUUUUGUUUUUGUUGUUUUUGAGAUAGGGUCUAACCAUGUAGGCCAGCCUAGAACUUGCUAUUUAGACCAGGCUGACUGCAAAUUCAAGUGAUCUGCUACUUCUGCCUCCCAGGGAUUAAAGGGGUGUAUUAUCAAGUCUGCCCACACACUUAUUCUUAUUUUCUUUACUAACUAGGUAACAGUCCAGACAAAAUCUUCUGCACACAAAAGCAACUUCACAGACUAGCCAAUAAGCCAAGUUUUCAGUGUUGAAAAAGGACCUGAGAUAUACCUCACGGGGAUAAGAAAGCAAGACUAACAGACUUUAGUGAGUGAGCCAGAAGUCAGCCGUAGCAGAUGGAACUCAACAAACAAGCCGACAGCAUCGAGAUACAGCUCUGGAGCUCCUGAAGACGAGUGGCAGAAAGGCAGUUCUGAGACUAAAAACACUGCUAUCUUCUGGUGAUGAGAAGCAAGAGUGGUGGUCCUGGAGGACGAGUCAUCACAUCUGGUCUCACUCCCUCGCUGUUCAGACCCAAGACCUGGUUCAGCUGUGACUUGAUCACCUGGAUGUCAGCACUACGGAUGCCAUUUGAGAGGCACUUGAGUGCUCCAGCAUCAUUCCCUGAACCACUCAUCACUCAGAACUGUCCCACUCCGUAUUGACCUGUCCAGACAUCAGUAUGGACUGGACUGUCCAGACUGAAUGUCCUAGUCAUCAAGACAGGAUCCACAUCUUCCUCUAGCUCCCAUGUGCUUUCUUCAUACGGCAGAGAGCACCAUUUUACCAGACACAUGACAGAACGAGACUUUCUGGGAAAAAGGACACGCAGAUGGGACACCUGAUGGGUCAGAUCUAUUCAUGCUCACAGCCAGGACAAGCCACUGUCCCCUCCCUCUGCUCUUACCAAUGAAGGCUAAUCAUCUGCACAGCCUUAAGGCCUUGAAAACCAUCACACAUCUGAUAAAUAAAAACUGAAAGAUGUCAA